ensembl:lincRNA
UCUCCAGAAGAGGCUCAACAUAGUCAGGAGAGCUUUCCAGCAACACCAGGACCACUCUCCCAAAGGAGUUUACAUUUUUGGUUUAUUCAUGGAGGGGGCGCGAUGGGACCCUGAACAGGAAGUGCUGGAAGACUCGCUGCCCAGUCAGCUAUGCUGUGAAUUUCCGGACAUGCUCUUUUUGCCAACAAAGAUUACUGAACCCCCGGCCUCCCAGGAUUCUGACCAGACAGCCUCAGAACUGCACACUUUUGAGUGCCCAGUCUACUACACGCCCGAGAGGUCAAGAAACAUGAUUGGCUUACCAACAACCGUGCUGACCUCAGUGCACUUACCCACGAAGAAACCUCCUAGCCACUGGAUCACCAUGCAGGUUGCACUGCUGUGUGAGAAGAAUGAGUGA